rnacentral:rRNA from 1 species
AGUGAACGCUGGCGGUAGGCCUAACACAUGCAAGUCGAACGGCAGCACAGUAACAGCUUGCUCUUACGGAGGGCGAGUGGCGGACGGGUGACGAAUACAUCGGACUCUACUUUUUCGGGGGGGAUAACGUAGGGAAACUUACUCUAAUACCCCAUACGACCUACGGGUGUCAGCAGGUGAUCUUCGGACCUUGCGCGAAUGAAUGCGCCGAUGUCGGACUAGCUAGUUGGCGGGGUAAAGGCCCACCAAGGGGACGAUCCGUAGCUGGUCUGAGAGGAUGGUCGGACACACUGGAGGUGAGACACGGUCCAGGCUCCUACGGGAGGCCGCAGUGGGGAAUGUUGGACAGCGGGCGGGAGCCUGAUCCAGCCAUACCGCGUGGGUGGAAAAGGCCUUCGGGUUGUAAAGACCUUUUGUUGGGAAAGAAAAGCAGCAGGUUAAUACCCCGCUGUUCUGACGGUACCUAAAGAAUAAGCACCGGCUAACUUCGUG